rnacentral:rRNA from 1 species
GAUGAACGCUGGCGGCGUGCCUAAUACAUGCAAGUCGACCUUAGUGGCGAACGGGUGAGUAACACGUGGGUAACCUGCCCAUCAGAAGGGGAUAACACUUGGAAACAGGCGCUAAUACCGUAUACUGAUGGAUGGACCAGCGGUGCAUGAGCUAGUGGGUGAGGUAACGGCUCACCAAGGCCACGAUGCAUAGCCGACCGUAGAGGUGGAGCAGCCACAUUGGGACUGAGACACGGCCCAAACUCCUACGUGAGGCAGCAGUAGGGAAUCUUCGGCAAUGGACGAAAGUCUGACCGAGCAACGCCGCGUGAGUGAAGAAGGUUUUCGGAUUGUAAAACUCUGUUGUUAGAGAAGCGUUAUCUAACCAGAAAGCCACGGCUAACUACGUGCCAGCCGCCGCGGUAAUAC